GUAAACAAACAAACUGACAUGUUGUGAUUUUGUGGAAGUUUUACUUUUUUGUCGAAAAUAGUCACGGUGCAACGGCAUCCGGCACUUACGAAUUGUUACCGUUCCAGUUUCUGGAUGAAGCCACAAAAUCGCCGGGGUCGAUUUCAGUAUUAGCAAACGGAUAGGGACAGCCGACAGUCUUGCUCAAUCAGGUUCUGUUCCUGCUGUAGAGCGCAGCGAGGAGCGUCGUCAUCAAGCUCCGAAGCAGCACCCUUUGUAUUAUGCAAAUGGCUCGCUUUGUAAUACGCAUUCGAAUAUAAUAAUUUAACGUGCGCCAGGAACAGCACAAACCAUUAACGUGCAGUGAAACAAACUGGCCGUUUUUUCACUGGCUCCGGUCUGACGUUGACAACAUUCUGAGAUGCCCAGCUAGCUCGUUAUCAGUGGACGUAUUUGUUCGUGAUGUUUCCAUUUCAGGCUACACCGGAGGAGGGACUGAAGGAAACAACCUCCCACCAGCCAUUUGAAACUAUUUAGGUAAUUGUCUAGUUUAGAGACUUUAUGUUUAGAGGUCCAUUUUUAAUGCGGUUUUUUGCUAAAAUGGUGUAUUUUAACCUCAAUAAACCGAAUCCGAGAGCGGAAAUGUAAAAUUUAUUACCAAAGUUUGAUAAAUUGAAAAAAUAAGUUGUGCUUAAUAACGCUCAUAACAAUGACAUACUGCCAUAGCAAGUAAGCUUAUGGAGCGGAGCUGGUGUGAUGCGGCUUUGACUAGCUCCGGCGGAAUAGUAAGCAAACCCCCUGAUCCCUUCGUUUGCCCGGUUUACUCAAACAUAGGGGCUAUAGCUAGUUUAAAGCCGACUGAGCGGUAGCGAAGUCGAACAGUGCGCCAAAAAGCAAUGUGGCGUAGCCACAUUCGUCAACAAUUUUGUUAUUUUGUAUAAAUGUGAGGUUAUGUUUAAUCAUAUUCGGUUUAAAUCGCGAAAAAUGUCGGACGAUCCAAGUGCGUGUAGCGCGUGCCAAGUUACUGCAGAUAAACUAUUUGUAAUGGGCAAAGACGAGAUAAUGAAAUUUUUGUACGAACAUGGUACAUUUGUCUCAAAUAACAAAACGGUUGACGAAUGUGGCUACGCCACAUCGCUUUUUAGCGCACUGUCCGACUUCGCUACCGCUCAGUCGGCUUUAGACUAGCUAUAGCCCCUAUGUUUGAGUAAACCGGGCAAACGAAGGGAUCAGGGGGUUUGUUUACUAUUCCGCCGGAGUUAGUCAUCGUCUCGUUCGGCGGAUCCUCAGCGGCAUUGCGCCGCUUCGGAUCCUUGGCCUCGACUAUGCGGCAAAGCCGCAUCACACCAGCUCCGCUCCAUAAGCUUACUUGCUAUGGCAGUAUGUCAUUGUCAUGAGUGUUAUUAAGCACAACUUAUUUUUUCAAUUUAUCAAACUUUAGUAAUAAAUUUGACAUUUCCGCUCUCGGCUUCGGUUUAUUGGGGUUAAAAUACACCAUUUUAGCAAAAAACCGCAUUAAAAAUGGACCUCUAAACAUAAAGUCUCUAAACUAGACAAUUACCAAAUGGUGAUUAGUGAUGUACCAGGAACACCUAAUUAUAUGAGAAUGGGUCGCGGAUUUUCGUCUUCCCUAUUAAGCAGCGCACUAACACCGUUCCGUUUCUUGAACUGGCUCGGUGUUAUCAGCAGCAGCGGCAGACUAUAUUGAAUCGUAAUUUUAGACGAUGAAGCAAACACGAAGGAAAACAAGAUAAUAUAAUAGAUCUAUUAUUUUUAAUUGAAAGAUUUUAUAUUUGCAAGAGAAAUGUCGUUGGAAUGAGAUUUUACAAAUUUCCUGAAACAAGAUGAUCAGCUGGUGUGUGUCACAAACAAGUGAUGAACGAGUCCAUAGGAUAUCAGCGCAUAAUAAACAUGCAAAAGAGCCUAUGUUGGGCGACAAAAUAAUCAUCGGAGUGCUCUUCGAGUGUAAGUUUUUCGUGUCGCGUAAAGUAUAAGACAUUUACUGUACACAAAUUAUUAGUUUAUUAAACAUUUCUUGUAAUAAAGAUAAAUGCAAUUUCUA